rnacentral:rRNA from 1 species
UACGUAGGUGGCAAGCGUUGUCCGGAUUUACUGGGCGUAAAGAGCGCGCAGGCGGUCGUUCAAGUCGCGUGUGAAAGCCCCCGGCUCAACUGGGGAGGGUCACGCGAUACUGUUCGACUCGAAGGCAGGAGAGGGUAGUGGAAUUCCCGGUGUAGUGGUGAAAUGCGUAGAUAUCGGGAGGAACACCGGUGGCGAGGGCGACUACCUGGCCUGUUUCUUGACGCUGAGGCGCGAAAGCUAGGGGAGCAAACGGG